AAGACCCUAGAAGAAUGUUCUCUUCAGUAUCUCGCGGCAGGCAAGCGAAAAGCAGAAUCACCUGAAUAACUGAAACAAAACCAGAAGUUUGCAGUAUGAAAAACAGAUCCAGAACCCAGUGAUGGCAUGUGCGGUGUCACAUCGUAAUGGUCUGUAAUUCGUUUCCUGAAAAGUAGAGAUACGAUCAUGUAUCUUUGCCGAAUGUAUGUCAAGUGUAAUGACUGUUUUUAAUAAACGGGGAAAAAACUAUUAUCA